GAGAGAGGGAGCCCAGAGAUGGAUUCUGAGACACGAAUCCAGGCCCUACGGGGCGCAGCAGUCGCGAAAACUUCACAAUGGGGGCAACCCCGAUGAGGGAACCCCUAGUGCUAUCGCUAUUUUGUGAUAGCUUUUCUUAAGCGUAGAUAACUUAAGGAAUAAGGGCUGGGUAAGACGGGUGCCAGCCGCCGCGGUAAUACCCGCAGCCCAAGUGGUGGUCGAUUUUAUUGAGUCUAAAACGUUCGUAGCCGGUUCAUUAAAUCCUUGGGUAAAUCGGGAAGCUUAACUUUCCGACUUCCGAGGAGACUGGUGAACUUGGGACCGGGAGAGGCAAGAGGUACUUCUGGGGUAGGGGUAAAAUCCUGUAAUCCUAGAAGGACCACCGGUGGCGAAGGCGUCUUGCUAGAACGGAUCCGACGGUGAGGGACGAAGCCCUGGGUCGCAAACGGGAUUAGAUACCCCGGUAGUCCAGGGUGUAAACGCUGCAGACUUGGUGUUGGAGACCCUUCGUGGGUGUUCAGUGCCGGAGAGAAGUUGUUAAGUCUGCUACUUGGGGAGUACGUCCGCAAGGAUGAAACUUAAAGGAAUUGGCGGGGGAGCACCGCAACGGGAGGAACGUGCGGUUUAAUU
rnacentral:rRNA from 1 species